rnacentral:rRNA from 1 species
GACGAACGCUGGCGGCGUGCUUAACACAUGCAAGUCGAACGGAAAGGCCCUGCUUUUGUGGGGUGCUCGAGUGGCGAACGGGUGAGUAACACGUGAGUAACCUGCCCUUGACUUUGGGAUAACUUCGGGAAACUGGGGCUAAUACCGGAUAGGAGCUCCUGCUGCAUGGUGGGGGUUGGAAAGUUUCGGCGGUUGGGGAUGGACUCGCGGCUUAUCAGCUUGUUGGUGGGGUAGUGGCUUACCAAGGCUUUGACGGGUAGCCGGCCUGAGGGGGUGACCGGCCACAUUGGGACUGAGAUACGGCCCAGACUCCUACGGGAGGCAGCAGUGGGGAAUAUUGCACAAUGGGCGGAAGCCUGAUGCAGCAACGCCGCGUGCGGGAUGACGGCCUUCGGGUUGUAAACCGCUUUCGCCUGUGACGAAGCGUGAGUGACGGUAAUGGGUAAAGAAGCACCGGCUAACUACGUG